rnacentral:rRNA from 1 species
AGGACGAACGCUGGCGGCGUGCUUAACACAUGCAAGUCGAGCGGUAAGGCCUUUCGGGGUACACGAGCGGCGAACGGGUGAGUAACACGUGGGUGAUCUGCCCUGCACUCUGGGAUAAGCCUGGGAAACUGGGUCUAAUACCGGAUAUGACCUGCUCUCGCAUGGGGGUGGGUGGAAAGAUUUAUCGGUGCAGGAUGGGCCCGCGGCCUAUCAGCUUGUUGGUGGGGUAAUCGGCCUACCAAGGCGACGGACGGGUAGCCGACCUGAGAGGGUGACCGGCACACUGGGACUGGAGACCACGGGCCCAGUACCGUCCUAACGGGGCGGCAGGACAGGUAGGGGGAAUUAGUUGCAACGAAGUGGGACGAAAGCCUAGAUGCAGCCGACGGCCGCGUAGGA